UACGGAGGGAGCUAGCGUUGUUCGGAAAUACUGGGCGUAAAGCGCACGUAGGCGGCGCCGUAAGUCAGGGGUGAAAUCCCGGGGCUCAACCCCGGAACUGCCUUUGAAACUGCAGUGCUAGAAUCUUGGAGAGGCGAGUGGAAUUCCGAGUGUAGAGGUGAAAUUCGUAGAUAUUCGGAAGAACACCAGUGGCGAAGGCGACUCGCUGGACAAGUAUUGACGCUGAGGUGCGAAAGCGUGGGGAGCAAACAGG
rnacentral:rRNA from 1 species